rnacentral:rRNA from 1 species
UACGUAGGGCGCAAGCGUUGUCCGGAAUUAUUGGGCGUAAAGAGCUCGUAGGCGCUUGUCACGUCGGGUGUGAAAGCCCGGGGCUCAACUCCGGAAUUGCCUUUAAGACUGCAUCGCUAGAAUUGUGGAGAGGUAAGUGGAAUUCCGAGUGUAGAGGUGAAAUUCGUAGAUAUUCGGAAGAACACCAGUGGCGAAGGCGACUUACUGGACACAUAUUGACGCUGAGGUGCGAAAGCGUGGGGAGCAAACAGG